rnacentral:rRNA from 1 species
GACGAACGCUGGCGGCGUGCUUAACACAUGCAAGUCGAACGAUGAACUUGGAGCUUGCUCUGGGGGAUUAGUGGCGAACGAGUGAGUAACACGUGAGUAACCUGCCCUGGACUCUGGGAUAACUUCGAGAAAUCGGAGCUAAUACCGGAUAGGACCUUGCACCGCAUGGUGUGGGGUGGAAAGUUUUUCGGUUUGGGAUGGACUCGCGGCCUAUCAGCUUGUUGGUGAGGUAAUGGCUCACCAAGGCGUCGACGGGUAGCCGGCCUGAGAGGGUGACCGGCCACACUGGGACUGAGACACGGCCCAGACUCCUACGGGAGGCAGCAGUGGGGAAUAUUGCACAAUGGGCGCAAGCUUGAUGCAGCAACGCCGCGUGCGGGAUGACGGCCUUCGGGUUGUAAACCGCUUUUAGUAGGGAAGAAGCCUUCGGGUGACGGUACCUGCAGAAAAAGGACCGGCUAACUACGUGCCAGCAGCCGCGGUAACAC